rnacentral:rRNA from 1 species
CCUACGGGAGGCAGCAGUAGGGAAUCUUUCACAAUGGGCGAAAGCCUGAUGCAGCAACGCCGCGUGGAGGAUGAAGGUUUUCGGAUUGUAAACUCCUUUUGUAAGCGAGGAUUAUGACGGUAUCUAAUGAAUAAGCACCGGCUAACUACGUGCCAGCAGCCGCGGUCAUACGGAGGAUGCGAGCAUUACCCGGAGUGACUGGGCGUAAAGAGUGCGAAGGCGGGGAAAUAAAGCAGAUGUGAAAUCCUGUAGCUUAACAAUAGGACUAUAUUUGAAAAUGUUACUCUGGAGAGCGGGAGAGGUAGGUGGAAUUUUUGGUGUAGGGGUAAAAUCCGUAGAGAUUAGGAGGAAUACUAAUUGCGAAGGCGAGCUGCUGGAACAUUACUGACGCUGAGGCACGAAAGCGUAGGGAGCAAACGGGAUUAGAUACCCGAGUAGUC